rnacentral:rRNA from 1 species
AGCAGCAGCCGCGGGAAUACGAAGGGUGCAAGCGUUAAUCGGAAUUACUGGGCGUAAAGCGUGCGUAGGCGGUUUGUUAGGUCUGUUGUGAAAUCCCCGGGCUCAACCUGGGAAUGGCAAUGGAUACUGGCAAGCUAGAGUGUGUCAGAGGAUGGUGGAAUUCCCGGUGUAGCGGUGAAAUGCGUAGAGAUCGGGAGGAACAUCAGUGGCGAAGGCGGCCAUCUGGGACAACACUGACGCUGAGGCACGAAAGCGUGGGGAGCAAACAGGAUUAGAUACCCGAGUAGUCCCUGUCUCUUAUAA